rnacentral:snRNA from 1 species
GUCUCUUCAGAGACAUCCGAUAAAAUUGGAAUGAUACAGAGAAGAUUAGCAUGGCCCCUGCGCAAGGAUGACACGUACAAAUCGAGAAAUGGUCCAAUUUUUU